AGAACACUUGCCACUGGCGUGCCGCCUCACCAGCAGGCCCGGCAGACUCUACUGUUUUCCCACUGAGAGCGAUAGGGCCCCCUGAUGAGAAUGGUAACCAGCCUCAUCAUUACUGGUCCUUCGCCACCAGUGACCUUUAUAACUGGUGUACUCAACACACCAAAUUUUCUGAUAACCCUAGGGAUUUGAUUAACCUAUUAGAAACUGUUUUGUUCACCCAUCAGCCCACUUGGGAUGACUGUCAGUAGCUCCUCCAGAUCCUGUUUACCAUGGAGGAACGAGAGAGAAUUCAAAAUGAAGCCAGGAAAUUGGUUCCUGGUGACAAUGGUCAACCCACCACCAAUAUUGAUACUAUCAACACUUCUUUUCCUUUGUCCCAGCCCAAUUGGGACUUCAACACAGCAGAAGGAGAGCCGAGGGAAUGUGAACGUCAUCUGAGAAAGAUUGCGGCCGAAGGACAAGUGCGGAAACCCCACUCGGAUGACUAUCGACCGGUGCAGGACCUCCGUGAGCCUUCUGCUGGCACCCAAAAGCCAGCACAUCUUUGCAUUUGAAUGGAGCGACCCUGAGCAGGGCAUCAACGGACAGCUGACCUGGGCCCGACUUCCUCAAGGAUUUAAAAACUCCCCCACCAUUUUGGACGAAGCUUUGUAUGAGGACUUGGGCUGGACAGAGGCUUUCCCCACCAAGCACGAAACAGCUCAGACUAUGGCCAAAAAGCUUUUAGAAGACAUCCUACCAAGGUAUGGCUCCCCAGUAAUGCCAGGGACAGGCAAUGGACC
rnacentral:lncRNA from 1 species